rnacentral:misc_RNA from 1 species
UUGACUUAUUAAGUACAAUACUCAGAGAUGCCAUAAAAGUUCAAGAGUUAGAUACCUCCGGCGGGCGCCCGUUAGGGCCGGGGACCCCGGAGACCGGGGCCAACCCGCCGAAGCAACGUUGAAGGUAAGUUCACAAUGGUUUGGGAGUUUUGCAACUCUUUAAUGAUCCCUCCGCUGGUUCACCAACGGAGA